AGGCACUUAAUUUAAUAAAAAUAUUUGAUUUCGGCUCAAAAACUUGUGGUUAGAGUCCACAUUUGCCUA
rnacentral:tRNA from 1 species